rnacentral:tRNA from 1 species
CGGGGAGUAGCGCAGUUGGCUAGCGCGCUUGCUUUGGGAGCAAGAGGUCCCGGGUUCGAGCCCCGGCUUCCCGA